rnacentral:rRNA from 1 species
AUGAACGCUGGCGGCGUGCCUAAUACAUGCAAGUCGAGCGAACAGACGAGGAGCUUGCUCCUCUGACGUUAGCGGCGGACGGGUGAGUAACACGUGGAUAACCUACCUAUAAGACUGGGAUAACUUCGGGAAACCGGAGCUAAUACCGGAUAACAUGUUGAACCGCAUGGUUCAACAGUGAAAGACGGUCUUGCUGUCACUUAUAGAUGGAUCCGCGCCGCAUUAGCUAGUUGGUAAGGUAACGGCUUACCAAGGCAACGAUGCGUAGCCGACCUGAGAGGGUGAUCGGCCACACUGGAACUGAGACACGGUCCAGACUCCUACGGGAGGCAGCAGUAGGGAAUCUUCCGCAAUGGGCGAAAGCCUGACGGAGCAACGCCGCGUGAGUGAAGAAGGUCUUCGGAUCGUAAAACUCUGUUAUUAGGGAAGAACAAAUGUGUAAGUAACUAUGCACGUCCUGACGGUACCUAAUCAGAAAGCCACGGCUAACUACGUG